CAUUUCCAUUUUCUGGUAGCUUCUUAAUAUAUUCUAAGAUAUUUCUGUGAGGAAAACAGUGCCCUCAUGUAGGUGAAUAAAUUGUUAUACAUGAAUGUAAUACAUGAAACUGAGCUGUUGUCCAUUUAAGGGUAAGUAGAAGUCAAAAAUAGGAGAAAAAUGGUCCCUGAUGUGAAAAGAGAAAGAGAUUCUCCUGCCUCCCUUUUAGAGCAUUUCUUUUAGAAAACUUGUAAAUUCUUUCUCUGCUCCUUUAUAAUGACUGUAAAUCUUUUUAAAGGCUAAGCAAGUUUCAUAGGUCAGGAAUGUUUCCCAUAAGGGUCUGGAGUCCCCUCAUUGAAACGUGAACUUUAGGGAAGAUAGCACCCCUGUCUCCCAGGCCCUUGAGAGUUUCCAUUUGUUAGAGCUAGGAGCCAGCCACUUAACUACUUCUUGUAGAGAUAGGAGAGCCUUUAUUAUUCUUUUGGUAAGGACUAAACACUGAUUGCCAGCAUAGUUAUCAGGCACAUUUACGAAAAACCGUGUGACAAGUGGCCCUGUGGAGUGAGCCUAUUCAGUAGGCAUAGGGACUGUUGCUUUGGGGUUUCUCAGUGGGGGAGGUGGACUGGGUUCAAGUUCUAAUACAACAAGGAAAAGUGGAGAUUUUGUAGCCAAGGAACAGGGGUGGGUGCUGGUAGAUGGAAAGUUACUGAGCAGUCAUCAGGGGUCAGGGAGGAUUCUGGCUAAAUCUACCUUAACUCCUGAAGGCAGGCUGGGUAAUUAGAUGUUACCCCGGGGAUGGUACAGUGUGAGGACUUUGAUCAUUUAUUGAGGGUAGGACAUUCUUGCUGAGGAAGACAAGCCCAGGUAUAGGACCUCUUCAGGCUCACAGGGAAAGUUUGGUCUGAGGAUACAAUCUAUUAGUAGUUUUGUACCUAAUUUUUUGCCCUAACAGCCACCAGAUGACUGACCAUUCUCUAUACCACACUCCCUGCUCCAUGAGUGGUGUGAGAGGGUCCAUGUCCACAAUUAGGUGUUUGCCUUUACUCUUUCUCACUAGUUAGUGUAUUUUCCAACUUUUGUGUAUCCCUUUUCAAAUUUCUGCAUUUUACUAGUUUUUGUUGCCUUUUCAUUCUUUUUUUAAGCAAGACUGGCAAGGUCAGAUUCUUGUAGAAUCUGGAUAGGUGAGGUGAAGAAGUGCAGCAGGGAGAUAAGGACUAGGAACAGUGCCCACCAGGCCUGCUGUUGUUGCCUUUAGUCAGAUUCUUCAAAGACAAGCUGAAAAUCUGAAUUUUUAUGUGAACCUCUUACUUUUUAAGUCUUGGCAACUGAUGCAAAAUUCCAAAGAAAUGGGCACACAAAGUAAGACACAUCUGGAGGCUGUGAGUUUGUGACCCAAUUUAAGUAUAAGGUUCUAGUAAACACAUUUGGCCCUCCAACUGGCCCAGCUGUCUACUCGUCACAAGGAUUAUUCCCAGUACUUGGGUUACAUGUUUUAGUAAUUUCUUACAUUCUGUCGUAAAAAAUUUUUAUAGGUAAGCUACCCUGUUUAAGAAACUGAACACAGUAGAAACUGUUACUCAUCAGCCCAUUCUCCUAUGGAUGGAUGAAGUAAUUUGAGCUCUAGCCUUUUCUGAGGUCUUUUAAAUCCAGUCAAAUGCUGAUCUCACUUGAUCUCUGCAGUUGUGCCACUGUCAGUCUUAACCACUCUUCUCUUUCAGAUCCAUCCAAGACGGGCUGCCCAGUGUUGCUAGUCUGACCACCAUAAUUUAAUGAGAUUAGUCCUGGAAUCCUCCUAAUCAAUCUCUUUGAACCUUCUAAGCCAGGGGAUAGCAAACGGGGACCUGUGGACUAAAUCCAAUCUGCCAUGUGUUUAUAGUUUUAUUGGAAUAUAGCGAUGCUCAUUUGUUUCUGUAUUGUCUGUGGUUGCUUUUAUACUAGUGGCAGACGUGAGCCAUUGUGACCCAGAUCAUAUGGUCUGUAAAGCCUAAAAUAUUUAUCAUCUGGCCCUUUGUAGUAAAAGCUUGCAGACCCCUACUGUAAGCCAUUCUCCUGUAGCUGAGCUUUCUACAGUUAGAUCAUGUCACUCCCCAAUUAUAAUCUUUCAUUAUGUUAUCUGGGGGCUCUCUCUUGCUUUUUCCUUGGCUGUGGGCUUCUGCAGUGCCUUCUCUCCUCCAUACUAACACCACUUUGUAUUUUAAUUGCUUAAUCGUCUGCCUCAGUAGCAAGCUCCAGGAGGUUUGUUCCCUGUUCUAUCCUUGGGAGAGAGUAGGUACAUAAUAAACAUUUGCCAUU